rnacentral:rRNA from 1 species
UCGAGAAUCUUCCGCAAUGGGGGAAACCCUGACGGAGCGACGCCGCGUGCGGGAUGAAGGCCUUCGGGUUGUAAACCGCUGUCACGGAUUAUGAAGGUCUUAGCUUUAAUAGAGCUGGGACUUGACCAAGGUCCGGGAGGAAGCCACGGCUAACUCUGUGCCAGCAGCCGCGGUAAGACAGAGGUGGCGACCGUUGUUCGGAAUCACUGGGCAUAAAGCGCGUGUAGGUGGCAUUGUAAGUCGGGUGUGAAAUCCCUCGGCCUAACCGAGGAAUUGCGCCCGAAACUACUUUGCUUGAGGAUCGGAGGGGAGCCUGGAAUUCCUGGUGGAGCGGUGAAAUGCGUUGAUAUCAGGAGGAACACCGGCGGCGAAGGCGAGGCUCUGGCCGAUUACUGACACUGAGACGCGAAAGCUAGGGGAGCAAA